rnacentral:rRNA from 1 species
UAAUACGGAGGGUGCGAGCGUUAAUCGGAAUUACUGGGCGUAAAGCGUGCGUAGGCGGUCCGGUCAGUCAGCCGUGAAAGCCCCGGGCUCAACCUGGGAACGGCGGUUGAGACGGCCGGGCUGGAGUGGGCUAGAGGAUCGUGGAAUUCCGGGUGUAGCGGUGAAAUGCGUAGAGAUCCGGAGGAACACCGAUGGCGAAGGCAGCGAUCUGGGGCCACACUGACGCUGAGGCACGAAAGCGUGGGGAGCAAACAGG